rnacentral:rRNA from 1 species
AUUGAACGCUGGCGGCAUGCUUUACACAUGCAAGUCGAACGGUAACAGGGAGCUUGCUCCGCUGACGAGUGGCGAACGGGUGAGUAAUGCAUCGGAACGUACCGUGUAAUGGGGGAUAACGUAGCGAAAGUUACGCUAAUACCGCAUACGCCCUGAGGGGGGAAAGUGGGGGGACCGCAAGGCCUCACGUUAUACGAGCGGCCGAUGUCGGAUUAGCUAGUUGGUGGGGUAAAGGCCUACCAAGGCGACGAUCCGUAGCGGGUCUGAGAGGAUGAUCCGCCACACUGGGACUGAGACACGGCCCAGACUCCUACGGGAGGCAGCAGUGGGGAAUUUUGGACAAUGGGCGCAAGCCUGAUCCAGCCAUGCCGCGUGAGUGAAGAAGGCCUCGGGUUGUUAAAGACUCUUUCAGGUGGAAGAAAUCGCACCUUUAAUACAGGUGUGGAUGACGGUACCGAUCAG